rnacentral:rRNA from 1 species
UACAUAGGUCCCAAGCGUUGUUCUGAUUCAUUGGGCGUAAAGGGCGCGUAGGCGGCGUGGUAAGUCGGGUGUGAAAUCUCGGAGCUUAACUCCGAAACUGCAUUCGAUACUGCCGUGCUUGAGGACUGGAGAGGAGACUGGAAUUUACGGUGUAGCGGUGAAAUGCGUAGAUAUCGUAAGGAAGACCAGUGGCGAAGGCGGGUCUCUGGACAGUUCCUGACACUGAGACACGAAGGCCAGGGGAGCAAACGGG